CUUUUAUGGCAGGCAGAUUAUCAACAUGAAGUGGGCCGGGACCAAAUAGAUGCCUGUUUCUCAGCAAGCGGUGUCCAACUGCUAAAUUACCCCGGUCUUAUCAGUAUGGGCUAUCAUUAAAGCCGGGGGUUUUCGAUGCACACAUGUGACCCUUCAUGGGCCAUAGGAAUAUGAAGACCGCUUCUUGUAUAUCUUUUCCAUCACGGAACAAUGGUGUUCCGGACCUUUGGGAGGCGUGCGCGGAGCCGUAGGCAACACAUACGGGAUCAUAUCAAUUACGUGGACAAGUCGUAUGGUGGGACAACCUACGACACCUUUAUAUGGAGCAACAGCGUUAGUCGAUAUUACUUCGAGCAGCUGGCAUGA